AUAAGGGUCCAGGGCUUGAAGUCUGGCUCCGUCUCUGCCCCUUGGCUGCUGUCUGAUGUUGGGCAUCCUCUGAGCGUUGGUUUUCUCUUCUGUAAAACAGAGAUAAGGAUACCCACUGGCCGAGCAGUGGUGAGGGAGGAUGAGGGGCACAUCACGAAGCCCCUGGCUCCCGGGCAGUAUUCAGUAAGUGCUGAUUCCUCCACUGCCAGCUGCACAUGACUGGAGAGCCGAGCCUGGUGGCCCCUCGGGGCAGCCGCGUGUGAGGACAUCCAUACCUCCCCCGGUUUCCAAUCCUGUUUUUUCCACGAUCCUGAUCGUAUCUCCAAUCUGCUGCCCUGGAACCAACGUAGACCUUCAUCUCUGGCCAUCUGUCUGCCCAGGCAGAGGGCACACACACACAGAUGUGCCGCUCCAAGUAAGUUCUGACCGUGGGGAGGCCCUUCCUUCCUUGUGGUUUUUCAGGGACACUGCUGGGUGGGGCUGAAAUGCUGCAGAGGGUCCGGCUGGUGCAGAGCGUCAGGGGCGACCAUCUGAGCACUUUCCCUCUUCUGACUUGGCAUCAGGAGCCUCACAUGAGGUCACUGGUGGGAGUGAAGGGGACAGUAGCGGGGAAGGGGUUGGGGCUGGCAGAGUGUGAGCCGUCUGCCCACGUGACUUCCUUGCGACUCCCAGGUCUGCUAGAGUAUGAACCUGUCAUGCAUGUCCAGCUUUACGGCUGAGUGGGUCAGGUGACUCCUGUUUUCUGAUAAUCCUCCAGUGUCUCAGGGUCACCUGAUGCCACAUGCAGACUAUCUUUUAAGGGUGCAAAGAUUUACUCCAAUUCCCUGAGGACCUGGGCGAUUGGGACCUGUUGCAGGUUCCAUAGCUACCCCGUCUAUCGUGGACAAUUUGAGGCUUAGCCGUGGAAGACCAUGCCAGGAGGAGCAAGCUAUCUCUCAUCACAGAGGCGAUAUUCAAACAUGCCCACCACGUUGGACCCCAGCAGCUUCACCUAGGUGUCGGAGCCGUGAACUUGGUGGGGUUUGCUCCCACCAGCUGGUAUGCGUGUGUCUUAUUCAAGCUUCUGGGGGUGUUGUCCGCUUCCUGGCCAGCAGGUCCAGAAUGCAUGGUGUCAUUGGUCGAGUCAGCAUGACGUUGUGCGACAUGCUGACCGUCGAGGCCCUCUGGUGUAGAUCACGUCCUAGCAGGAGAGGUGACAUGGUCGCAAGGCAAGACGGGGUGUUCUGUUCUUGUUGAGCUAUAGCGAACUCCUUCUGCUGUUGCGAGGACAACAGCCACCCGCGGGGUCGGGAGCCGUGUUGACUUUCUCCGCUGGAAGAAAUACCACAUCUGGACUAGCAGGUGCCUUCGAAAGCACCACCUGAGUGAGUUUAUAAUAAUUCAUGGUCAUUCUCCAAGAUUGAUCUGCCUUUAGCACACAAGGCACAGGCGAGUCAGAUGCAAAAUGCAGAGUUGGAGUCACCACGUCAACGUCUUUUAUUGUUACAGGGUCUUCAAGCCAGGGAAGGGUGUUUUCCUCGAAGAGGGAGCAGGGUCUGCCAUAGAUGGGGAAGGAGGCUUGGGGAGACUCGGGGUUCAAGGUCCUCAGAUUCAUCUGAGUUCUCGUUCCAGUCCUCAGGACGCCCUUCUUUUUCGAUCAAUGCCUGAUUGAUUUCACCUACGGGAUUCGGCAAGGCUGGGAGUCAAAUUCAAUUUACACCGUAAUUCUGCCAUCCGCGGGGCUGGACUCCAAUGUGCUUGGAUUAAAUUUUGGGCCUGAGUUUCAGCUGUGUCUUCCCUGUGUCUACAGAAGGUAAAACAUUUCUUUAGGGCCUCAUAAAAUCUCUGUUCCCCGAGGGUACUUUGAUCUGAGAGUUCAGAGUCCUUAGCUUGUUAUUUUCUUUCCACACUCUCCCUGGAACAGUCAGAAGUGGCCAUCAAGCCCCAGGCUUCUUGUUGUGGGCAGCACUAACGGUCAAGUGCAGCGGUCACCCGGUGUAAAGCCAUGCCCUCAAGUGACAUUUCACCCCAGGCAAACCCAAGGUUCAUUCCGGAAAACAGAAUCUCCAACCAGCCCACACAGAGAGGACGGUCCGCAGAGACACGGGUCGUGAAGGGUUGUUGGGGCCGACGGAGCAGGAAGGGAAGGGAAGGGCCCCCAGGGCUUAGGGACUCGGCACGCUGCCACCCGGGGCUGGGGAACCCGGGAUGAAUCCUGCACCUGCUGUGGCCUCCGGUGGAGCUGAUCGCCACGGCCGCGGAGAUCCCCGAGUCCCCGCUGUUGCUGGAGCCACAGGCCGCUGCUGAAAGGACAAGAGAGGCAGGAACAGAUUCCUUACCUCUGCCUUCCCGGUCCUGGGCCAGCACCUCUCAUCGUCCGAACCUGGCUGGAACUGGCAGUCAAGGGAGACAGGGACAUGUGACUUGUGGGUCCGGCAUCGCACAGACAGUGGCCACCGAGCAGAGAGCCGAGACGACUGGACGAAGGACCAGCACAUCGAGACUUGACUUUUGUACCAGCCAAAUCCGUUCUGUGGCUUCCUGCUGGGUCCUGAGAAGGGGGCGCUGAGACUCAGUUUCCCCAUGAAU